CCUACGGGAGGCAGCAGUGAGGAAUAUUGGUCAAUGGGCGCGAGCCUGAACCAGCCAAGUAGCGUGAAGGAUGACUGCCCUACGGGUUGUAAACUUCUUUUAUAAAGGAGUAAACUGAGGCACGUGUGCCUGUCUGUAUGUACUUUAUGAAUAAGGAUCGGCUAACUCCGUGCCAGCAGCCGCGGUAAUACGGAGGAUUCAAGCGUUAUCCGGAUUUAUUGGGUUUAAAGGGUGCGUAGCCGGUGGGAUAAGUAAGAGGUGAAAGCCCGAGGCUCAACGGCGGAAGUGCCAUUGAUACUGUUCGGCUAGAGUGCGGUUGCGGUAGGCGGAAUGUAUGGUGUAGCGGUGAAAUGCUUAGAGAUCACACAGAACACCGAUUGCGAAGGCAGCUUACCAAGCUACGACUGACGUUGAGGCACGAAAGCGUGGGGAGCAAACAGGAUUAGAUACCCUAGUAGUC
rnacentral:rRNA from 1 species